rnacentral:tRNA from 1 species
UGGGGACUCGUCUAAUGGCAGGACAGCAGACUCUGAAUCUGUAUGUAAGGGUUCGACUCCUUUGUCCCCAGCAA